UACAGAGGUGGCAAGCGUUGUUCGGAAUUACUGGGCGUAAAGGGCGAGUAGGUGGCCAUCUAAGUCAGACGUGAAAUCCCCCGGCUUAACCUGGGAACUGCGUCUGAUACUGGACGGCUUGAGUAUGGGAGAGGGAUGUAGAAUUCCAGGUGUAGCGGUGAAAUGCGUAGAUAUCUGGAGGAAUACCGGUGGCGAAGGCGGCAUCCUGGACCAUUACUGACGCUCAUGUGCGAAAGCGUGGGGGAGCAAACAGGG
rnacentral:rRNA from 1 species